rnacentral:lncRNA from 1 species
GUUCCCACCCACACCCCAAGAACACACACACACACACACACACUCACACUCACACAGCCUGGAUCAUGCCUCCUUACCUGCUCACCAUCCAAACCUUGGUUUCCAUAUGACCUCCUCCAGAAAGCCUCCCCCGACAGACCUCACCCCUGCCCCCACAUCACCGGGCUGGAUUAAUCUGACUUUUCUCGCACUGGCACAUGGAUCACAGCUUUACAAAUGCCACAUCCUCAAGAAACCACAGCAGACAGUUCCUGCCUCUUCCUCCACCUCCUCCUGAAUCAGAAGGGAAGUGAGAUUUCUAUUUGCCUGGCGUGCACAACCCUCCAUAGUUUACACCUGGUACAGCUCUUCAGUUCAUCAACAUUUACUGAGCCCCACGUGUCCCAGGUGUAGAAGGUCCUUUAUUUUCUUACGCUUUUUAUUUGCAUAAUAUUCGCUUUUAGACACACCGCCUUGGUCCCUGAAGUGGACAGCUAUUAUUUUUCUCCUGCCCAGCCUCUUGGAAACAGCACUUCAGUCUUCGUCAGGGGCACCACCCUGCCCCGCCCUGUCCCUGCGCAUCAUUCGCUUGGCCAAGAACUGUGGCCCGGCCCAUCAGUGCCUCCCCGCUCCACUGGACCCCACCCCACCCAAAUUCAUUGUCCACGCAGCCACAGGAGGGAUUUUUCGUUUUCUUUUUUUCUUUUCUUUUCUUUCUUUCUUUUUUUUUUUUUUUUUUGAGGUGGAGUCUCGCUCUGUCGCCCAGACUGGAGUGCGAUGGCAUGAUCUCUGCUCAUUGCAACUUCCGCCUCCUGGGCUCAAGCAAUUCUCCUGCCUCAGCCUCCGGAGUAACUGGGAUUAGAGGCGCCCACCACCACGCCCAGCUAAUUUGUGUAUUUGUGUAUUUUUAGUAGAGACGGGGUUUCACUAUGUUGGCCAGGCUGGUCUCAAUCUCCUGACCUCAGGUGAUCCACCCGCCUGAGUCUCCCAAAGUGCUGGGAUUACAGGCGUGAGCCACCGCACCUGGCCGGGAUUUUCUUAAAACAUAAAACCAGAUUCCAUCAUUCCUCUGCUUAAAAUCCCUCAGAGAUUCUCAUAUCAAACUUUAAGCUCUUUACCAGGGCCUGCAGGGCCUUGCCUGACCUGCAUAAAAGUCUCAACUGAAAUGUGACUUGCUCAGAAGGACCCUUUGUAGCCACACUAUGGAGACCUUUGUCUAUCUCAGCACACUGCUUCUUUUGUUUUGUUUUGUUUUUGAGACAGGAUCUUGCUCUGUUGUCCAGGCUGAAGUGCAGUGGCAAGAACAGGGCUCACUGCAGCCUUGACUUUCUGGUCUCAAGCGGACCUCCCACCUCAGCCUCCAAAGUGCUGGGAUUACAGGCAUGAGCCACUGCGUCCAGCCACUCUGUUUCUAUUCUUUGGAGCAUUUAUCACAUUUUGUCAGUUCAGUUUCCCCCUCACAAUGGAGAGGGUGAGGGAGGGCAGGGGCAGCCCUCUCCCCCUCACUUCUUAUUCCUAGCAUGUGGCACAUGGUAGGUGCUCAACCCAUCUUUGAAGAAGGCUGGGAUAAUGACCUUGGGGUGAGGGAGGCCAAGCAGAGAUGUGCUGGGCUAGUGCAGUGGCCCAGGACAGAGAUGGAGGUGGUCUGUGCUCAGGGGCUGUGAAGCCAAUAGACCUUACUGGAUGGAGGAUGCAUCUUAUCCAUCCGGGCUGCUAUGACAGAAUACCAUAGACUGGGCAGCUUAUCCACAGCAGGUACUUACUUCUCAUAGUUCUGCAGGCUGGGAAGUCUAAGAUCAAGGUGCCAGCAGAUUCCGUGUCUGGUGAGGGCCACUUUCUCAUAGACGGUGACUUCUCGCUGAGUCCACACGUGGUGCAAGGGGCAAGGAAUCUCUCUGGGGACUCUUUUAUAAGGGCACUAACCCCAUUCACACGGGCUUCAUACUCAUGACCUAAUCACCUCCCAAAUGCCCCAUCUCCUAACACCAUUACAUGGUGGGCAGUGGGGUAGAAUUUAAACAUGGAUUUUGGGGUGAUACAAACAUUCAGACCAUAGCAGGGAGGAUGUAUUUUGGGGGCAGAGAAAACAGAAUGGAAACUGCCUUUGCAAAAAUCAUAGCUGAGAAAAUUACGACAGUGAAAGACACCACACCUAACUGACCCCAUCUUGCUUCUAACCGCUAAACUGUUCUUGUAAAACAAAUGAAAGGCCACCAGCCACCAAGUCAAGAUGAGAGGGGCUGGAAUUCUAAAUAUUCCCAGCCAUUAUUCCGGAGGUCCUAAGAUUUGCAACUUACCCAAUUACUCUUGAAGGUAACAUUACUAUUGUGAACCUAAGAUCGGCCUUUGGAGAUGUCUUUUUAGGUUUUUGCAUUUCUAACAACUAAAUGGCCCCACCUGGACCUGCCAACCAAUUAUGUGGCCCCCACCCCGGAACUGACUCAGCAGAAGUGAACAGCUUCGACGCCCUGUGAGUUUAUCUCCAAGCCAACCAAUCAGCACUCCCAAUUCACUGGCCCCCUACCCACCAAAUUAUCCUUAAAAACUCUGAUCCUCAAGUUUUCAGAAAGACUGAUUUGAGUAAUAAUAAAACUUCAGUCUCCCACACAGCCGGCUCUGCGUGGAUUACUCUUUCUCGGUUGCAAUUCCCCUGUCUGGACAAAUCGGCUCUGUCUAGGCAGCGGGCAAGGUGAAUCCCUUGGGCGGUUACAGAAUGUGCUGGCAGGCUGAAUGGUGGAGCAGAGAAGAAGGAUGAACCCUACAUUUCCCACUUGAGCACCUGUGUGGGAUGGUGGUGCCAGGGGACAGCGGGAGAGCAAGCAUUACAGGAAAACCCACACGUUAUGUUUAGGAUACAUUCGUGGUGUGAUGUCUGUAAGACAUUUAAGGGAGGGGUUGUGUAGGCAGCUAGACUAUGAGUCUGGAGCCGGAGGGAAGAUCUAGAUUCAAGUAUGGGGGUCAACAGCACAUUGACGGUGCCGAAAAUCACAAAUGGUAUGAGAUCCAUUGGAGAGAGCACCUAUGGAGAGAAUAUGGGAGCUCAGGACUGCACUUGAGGAUGCCCAAGAUUCUGAGAUCACAUAGAGAAAGAGCAGCCAGCAAAGGAUACUGAAGAGAAGAGGCCAGUGCAGGGGACAGGGAAACCAGGCCAGUGUAGUGGCCCUGAGCCGAGGGAAGAGUUUCUCAAGGAGAGGGAAGUCAACAGUGAAGACACUGCUGAAAGAUGUGCUGUGAUGGGAACAGAGAUGUGGCCUUUGGAUUCACAAUAGGAAGGUCCUGGGAGCUUGGCAAGAGCUAUUGUAGGGCCAGGCUCAGUGGCUCACACUUGUAAUUCCAGCACUUUGGGAGGCCAAGGUGGGAUCACUUGAGGCCAGGAGUUUGAGACCAGCCUGGGCAAUAUAGUGAGACCUCAUCUUUAAAAAAAAAAAAAAAAAAAAAAAAAGUCCGGGCACAGUGGCUCACGCUUGUAGUCCCAGCACUUCGGGAGGCCUAGGCAGGUGGAUCACCUGAGGUCACGAGUUCAAGACCAGGCUGGCCAACAUGGUAAAACCCCGUCUCUACUAAAAAAUACAAAAAAAAAUUAGGCAGGCGUGGUGGCACACAGCUAUAAUCCCAGCUUCUGGGGAGGUUGAGGCAGGAGAAUCUCUUGAACCUGGGAGGUGGAGGUUGCAAUGGGUCAAGAUUGCACCACUUUACUUCAGCUUGGGAAACAGAGUGAGACUCUGUCUCAAAAAAUAAAAUAAAAUAAUAAAAAAUUAGCUGGGUGUGGUAGUGCACUCCUGUGGUCCCAGCUACUCACGAGGCUGAGGUGGGAGGAUUGCUUGAGCCCAGGAGGUUGAGGCUGCAUUGAGCUGUGAUCACACCACUGCACUCCAGCCUGGGUGACCAAGUGAGAUCCUGUCUCAAAAAAAUAAAUGAGUAAAAUAAAAUAAUGGAUAAAUAAAAGCCAUCCCCCAUUUUCCAAAGCCCUCCUCAUGAGCAGUGCUGAAUCACAACUAAGAACCAUUGCUCUAGCACAAAAGUCAACAAACUUGUUCUGUAAGAGAUAGAUGGUAAAGUUUUUCAGCUUUGCAAGCUGUAUGAUUACUGGCACAACUAUGCAAUUCCAUCAUUGUAGUUUGAUAGCAGCCACAGACAAUUCCUAAGCAAAUGAGUGGGACUGUGUUCCAAUAAAACUUUAUUUAAAAACACAAUUGGUGG